rnacentral:rRNA from 1 species
UUAAGCGACUAAGCGUACACGGUGGAUGCCCUGGCAGUCAGAGGCGAUGAAGGACGUGCUAAUCUGCGAUAAGCGUCGGUAAGGUGAUAUGAACCGUUAUAACCGGCGAUUUCCGAAUGGGGAAACCCAGUGUGAUUCGUCACACUAUCAUUAACUGAAUCCAUAGGUUAAUGAGGCGAACCGGGGGAACUGAAACAUCUAAGUACCCCGAGGAAAAGAAAUCAACCGAGAUUCCCCCAGUAGCGGCGAGCGAACGGGGAGGAGCCCAGAGCCUGAAUCAGUGUGUGUGUUAGUGGAAGCGUCUGGAAAGGCGCGCGAUACAGGGUGACAGCCCCGUACACAAAAAUGCACAUGCUGUGAGCUCGAUGAGUAGGGCGGGACACGUGGUAUCCUGUCUGAAUAUGGGGGGACCAUCCUCCAAGGCUAAAUACUCCUGACUGACCGAUAGUGAACCAGUACCGUGAGGGAAAGGCGAAAAGAACCCCGGCGAGGGGAGUGAAAAAGAACCUGAAACCGUGUACGUACAAGCAGUGGGAGCACGCUUCGGCGUGUGACUGCGUACCUUUUGUAUAAUGGGUCAGCGACUUAUAUUCUGUAGCAAGGUUAACCGAAUAGGGGAGCCGAAGGGAAACCGAGUCUUAACUGGGCGUUAAGUUGCAGGGUAUAGACCCGAAACCCGGUGAUCUAGCCAUGGGCAGGUUGAAGGUUGGGUAACACUAACUGGAGGACCGAACCGACUAAUGUUGAAAAAUUAGCGGAUGACUUGUGGCUGGGGGUGAAAGGCCAAUCAAACCGGGAGAUAGCUGGUUCUCCCCGAAAGCUAUUUAGGUAGCGCCUCGUGAAUUCAUCUCCGGGGGUAGAGCACUGUUUCGGCAAGGGGGUCAUCCCGACUUACCAACCCGAUGCAAACUGCGAAUACCGGAGAAUGUUAUCACGGGAGACACACGGCGGGUGCUAACGUCCGUCGUGAAGAGGGAAACAACCCAGACCGCCAGCUAAGGUCCCAAAGUCAUGGUUAAGUGGGAAACGAUGUGGGAAGGCCCAGACAGCCAGGAUGUUGGCUUAGAAGCAGCCAUCAUUUAAAGAAAGCGUAAUAGCUCACUGGUCGAGUCGGCCUGCGCGGAAGAUGUAACGGGGCUAAACCAUGCACCGAAGCUGCGGCAGCGACGCUUAUGCGUUGUUGGGUAGGGGAGCGUUCUGUAAGCCUGUGAAGGUGUACUGUGAGGUAUGCUGGAGGUAUCAGAAGUGCGAAUGCUGACAUAAGUAACGAUAAAGCGGGUGAAAAGCCCGCUCGCCGGAAGACCAAGGGUUCCUGUCCAACGUUAAUCGGGGCAGGGUGAGUCGACCCCUAAGGCGAGGCCGAAAGGCGUAGUCGAUGGGAAACAGGUUAAUAUUCCUGUACUUGGUGUUACUGCGAAGGGGGGACGGAGAAGGCUAUGUUGGCCGGGCGACGGUUGUCCCGGUUUAAGCGUGUAGGCUGGUUUUCCAGGCAAAUCCGGAAAAUCAAGGCUGAGGCGUGAUGACGAGGCACUACGGUGCUGAAGCAACAAAUGCCCUGCUUCCAGGAAAAGCCUCUAAGCAUCAGGUAACAUCAAAUCGUACCCCAAACCGACACAGGUGGUCAGGUAGAGAAUACCAAGGCGCUUGAGAGAACUCGGGUGAAGGAACUAGGCAAAAUGGUGCCGUAACUUCGGGAGAAGGCACGCUGAUAUGUAGGUGAAGUCCCUCGCGGAUGGAGCUGAAAUCAGUCGAAGAUACCAGCUGGCUGCAACUGUUUAUUAAAAACACAGCACUGUGCAAACACGAAAGUGGACGUAUACGGUGUGACGCCUGCCCGGUGCCGGAAGGUUAAUUGAUGGGGUUAGCGGUAACGCGAAGCUCUUGAUCGAAGCCCCGGUAAACGGCGGCCGUAACUAUAACGGUCCUAAGGUAGCGAAAUUCCUUGUCGGGUAAGUUCCGACCUGCACGAAUGGCGUAAUGAUGGCCAGGCUGUCUCCACCCGAGACUCAGUGAAAUUGAACUCGCUGUGAAGAUGCAGUGUACCCGCGGCAAGACGGAAAGACCCCGUGAACCUUUACUAUAGCUUGACACUGAACAUUGAGCCUUGAUGUGUAGGAUAGGUGGGAGGCUUUGAAGUGUGGACGCCAGUCUGCAUGGAGCCGACCUUGAAAUACCACCCUUUAAUGUUUGAUGUUCUAACGUUGACCCGUAAUCCGGGUUGCGGACAGUGUCUGGUGGGUAGUUUGACUGGGGCGGUCUCCUCCUAAAGAGUAACGGAGGAGCACGAAGGUUGGCUAAUCCUGGUCGGACAUCAGGAGGUUAGUGCAAUGGCAUAAGCCAGCUUGACUGCGAGCGUGACGGCGCGAGCAGGUGCGAAAGCAGGUCAUAGUGAUCCGGUGGUUCUGAAUGGAAGGGCCAUCGCUCAACGGAUAAAAGGUACUCCGGGGAUAACAGGCUGAUACCGCCCAAGAGUUCAUAUCGACGGCGGUGUUUGGCACCUCGAUGUCGGCUCAUCACAUCCUGGGGCUGAAGUAGGUCCCAAGGGUAUGGCUGUUCGCCAUUUAAAGUGGUACGCGAGCUGGGUUUAGAACGUCGUGAGACAGUUCGGUCCCUAUCUGCCGUGGGCGCUGGAGAACUGAGGGGGGCUGCUCCUAGUACGAGAGGACCGGAGUGGACGCAUCACUGGUGUUCGGGUUGUCAUGCCAAUGGCACUGCCCGGUAGCUAAAUGCGGAAGAGAUAAGUGCUGAAAGCAUCUAAGCACGAAACUUGCCCCGAGAUGAGUUCUCCCUGACUCCUUGAGAGUCCUGAAGGAACGUUGAAGACGACGACGUUGAUAGGCCGGGUGUGUAAGCGCAGCGAUGCGUUGAGCUAACCGGUACUAAUGAACCGUGAGGCUUAACCU